CGGGACGGGUGAGUAAUGUCUGGGAAACUGCCUGAUGGAGGGGGAUAACUACUGGAAACGGUAGCUAAUACCGCAUAACGUCGCAAGACCAAAGAGGGGGACCUUAGGGCCUCUUGCCAUCGGAUGUGCCCAGAUGGGAUUAGCUAGUAGGUGGGGUAACGGCUCACCUAGGCGACGAUCCCUAGCUGGUCUGAGAGGAUGACCAGCCACACUGGAACUGAGUCACGGUCCAG
rnacentral:rRNA from 1 species